UGGUUCCGCAGAAGGAGCAGACCGUAACCUGCCGACCGGAGUUCAACGAUGGACUGCGGCCAAUCCAAGACGCGAGGGUGGAAGCUUAGGCUGUGCCGGAUGUAGAGGUGAAGAGGAAAGCAUCAGACAGAAGAAGAGUCCACUGCGGGCAACCCCCUGAAGUGAGGAGGAGGAGAUGAAGGCUGAGCAGCAUCCCACAGUGAGAGAGAGUGUCUUCAGUGCAACUGCAGCUGUCACCGG